AUACCGUGGUUCAAUGCCAUUGUCAACCAAAUAUUUGUCACCAAAUGAAAGAAUGCGAGCAAGAAAUGUACACAUGCAAAGGAAAUUAAAAUACAAGUGUUUGCUUCAGGAGGCAGUGGCAGUGAACAGGUGAAACACUGGGUGAGAGGAGGCUGUCAUCAUUAUCAUAACGUGAGGACCAGAGAGGGAGGAUGGGAUGAAGUGACGGAAUUUGUGCAGAAUGACACACAGCUGUCACGGGAGGAGAUGCAGAGCACUGUAUCUGGAGUCACGGCAGCAUACGAGCGAGAGCAGUUGUGGCUGGCCAAAGAGAACCUGAUGGUGAAGCUUCAGGCUUGUGGUCGAGGCUGUCUUGUCUGUCAGGAAUUCAACUCCAGAAUGAGGUUUUUGAAGAAGCAAGUUCCAGCCAUCGCUUGCAUGCAGUCCCAGUGGCGUGGCUAUAAACAGAGGAAGGCAUAUCAAAUCCGUUUGGAUUACUGAUGAGCACACAAGGACCAAGAAGUGAAGAUUCAGUCACUGGCCAGGAUGUAUCAAGGCAGAAGGCGUUACAGAGAUCACCUGCAAUCUUUCAGAGACCACAUAAGAGAUUGUGA